rnacentral:rRNA from 1 species
UACGUAGGGGGCAAGCGUUAAUCGGAAUUACUGGGCGUAAAGGGUGCGUAGGCGGUCUGUUAAGUUGGAUGUGAAAGCCCCGGGCUCAACCUGGGAAUGGCAUCCAAAACUGGCAGGCUGGAGUGCGGUAGAGGAUGGUGGAAUUCCCGGUGUAGCGGUGAAAUGCGUAGAGAUCGGGAGGAACACCAGUGGCGAAGGCGGCCUGCUGGACAUUAACUGACGCUGAGGCGCGAAAGCGUGGGGAGCAAACAGGAUUAGAUACCCCCGUAGUCCCUGAG